rnacentral:rRNA from 1 species
UUGACCUCGGAUCAUGUAGGGAUACCCGCUGAACU